rnacentral:rRNA from 1 species
AACGAACGCUGGCGGCGCGCUUAACACAUGCAAGUCGAACGAGAAGGCGUAGCAAUACGCUUGUACAGUGGCGAACGGGUGAGGAAUACAUGGGUAACCUACCCUCGAGUGGGGGAUAACCCGCCGAAAGGCGGGCUAAUACCGCGUACGCUUCCGAUCUUGCGGGAUUGGAAGGAAAGCUGUCCCUUGGGGAUGGCGCUCAAGGAUGGGCUCAUGUCCUAUCAGCUUGUUGGUAGGGAACGGCCUACCAAGGCAUCGACGGGUAGCUGGUCUGAGAGGACGAUCAGCCACACUGGCACUGCGACACGGGCCAGACUCCUACGGGAGGCAGCAGUGAGGAAUAUUGCGCAAAUGGGCGAAAGCCUGACGCAGCGACGCCGCGUGGGGGAUGAAGGUCUUCGGAUUGUAAACCCCUUUCGGGAGGGAAGACGGCCUUAGACAACUAAGGCGGACGGUACCUCCAGAAGCAGCCACGGCUAACUUCGUGCCAGCAGCCGCCGUAAC